rnacentral:rRNA from 1 species
GAUGAACGCUGGCGGCGUGCUUAACACAUGCAAGUCGAACGGGAUCCAAGGGGUGCUUGCACUUUUUGGUGAGAGUGGCGAACGGGUGAGUAACACGUGAGUAACCUGUCCUUUUCUUUGGGAUAAGCAUUCGAAAGGGUGUUUAAUACCUUAUGUUCUGUCUGCCUCGCAUGGGGUGGGUGGGAAUGGCUUUGGCCGGAUUUGGGUGGGCUCGCGGUCUAUCAGCUUGUUGGUGGGGUGAUGGCUUACCAAGGCUUUGACGGGUAGCCGGCCUGAGAGGGUGGUCGGUCACAUUGGGACUGAGAUACGGCCCAGACUCCUGCGGGAGGCAGCAGUGGGGGAUAUUGCACAAUGGGCGAAAGCCUGAUGCAGCGACGCCGCGUGGGGGAUGAAGGCCUUCGGGUUGUAAACUUCUUUUGCUCUGAACAAGGCAUGCCAGUGGGUGUGUUGAGUGUAGGGGUUGAUUAGCGCCGGCUAACUACGUG